AGGGUUUCUAUGAUGACCGGAUAUUCCUAAGUCUUCGCACAUCAGGGCCACAGCCCCAACCUCACAGGAAACAGAAUUAAUUUCCAAAGACUCAUGUUACAUGAGAAAGCCACCAAGAAGACCAAAGAAAAGGAGACAAGGAUGGCUCUUCCUCAGGGAUGCUUGACUUUCAGGGAUGUGGCUAUAGAAUUCUCUUUGGAGGAGUGGAAAUGCCUGAACCCUGCACAGAGGGCUUUAUACAGGGCCGUGAUGUUGGAGAACUACAGGAACCUGGAGUCUGUGG
rnacentral:lncRNA from 1 species